rnacentral:rRNA from 1 species
CCUACGGGCGGCAGCAGUGGGGAAUAUUGGACAAUGGGGGCAACCCUGAUCCAGCCAUGCCGCGUGUGUGAAGAAGGCCCUCGGGUUGUAAAGCACUUUCAGUGAGGAAGAACGCCUGGUGGUUAAUACCCAUCAGGAAAGACAUCACUCACAGAAGAAGCACCGGCUAACUCCGUGCCAGCAGCCGCGGUAAUACGGAGGGUGCGAGCGUUAAUCGGAAUUACUGGGCGUAAAGCGCGCGUAGGUGGCUUGAUAAGCCGGUUGUGAAAGCCCCGGGCUCAACCUGGGAACGGCAUCCGGAACUGGCAAGCUAGAGUGCAGGAGAGGAAGGUAGAAUUCCCGGUGUAGCGGUGAAAUGCGUAGAGAUCGGGAGGAAUACCAGUGGCGAAGGCGGCCUUCUGGACUGACACUGACACUGAGGUGCGAAAGCGUGGGUAGCAAACAGGAUUAGAUACCCUGGUAGUC